GCUUCUAAAGGAUAAGCAGCAAUCCGCUGGCCUUAGGUGCCACCAAUCUUGGUGCAAAUCCAAGUAGAAGCU
ensembl:Mt_tRNA